AGGUGCAUUAAUGACUAGUGGUAGAAGUUUAUAAAUAAAUUUUUUGAUCUAGUGGUAGAUAUAACUUGACUCAAUUACAUAAAUCCCUUUAAAAUGAUUGCCUUUAUAUUUUUUGUAACAUGUGACUUUAGAAAAAAUCUCCAAAAAAAUAAGGAGAGUCACAAAAAUAUGAAGAUGCCACACACUUCUAGCACGAUAUCUCUUUAUUGAGAGUAGGAAUGUAGGUCAG
rnacentral:lncRNA from 1 species